rnacentral:rRNA from 1 species
AUUGAACGCUGGCGGCAGGCCUAACACAUGCAAGUCGAACGGUAACAGGAAGAAGCUUGCUUCUUUGCUGACGAGUGGCGGACGGGUGAGUAAUGUCUGGGAAACUGCCUGAUGGAGGGGGAUAACUACUGGAAACGGUAGCUAAUACCGCAUAACGUCGCAAGACUAAAGAGGGGGACCUUCGGGCCUCUUGCCAUCGGAUGUGCCCAGAUGGGAUUAGCUAGUAGGUGGGGUAACGGCUCACCUAGGCGACGCUCCCUAGCUGGUCUGAGAGGAUGACCAGCCACACUGGAACUGAGACACGGUCCAGACUCCUACGGGAGGCAGCAGUGGGGAAUAUUGCACAAUGGGCGCAAGCCUGAUGCAGCCAUGCCGCGUGUAUGAAGAAGGCCUUCGGGUUGUAAAGUACUUUCAGCGGGGAGGAAGGGAGUAAAGUUAAUACCUUUGCUCAUUGACGUUACCCGCAGAAGAAGCACCGGCUAACUCCGUG